UUCGGGGACAGGGAGACAGGUGGUGGCAUGGUUGUCGUCAGCUCGUGUCGUGAGAUGUGGGUUAAGUCCCGCAACGAGCGCAACCCCUACGUUUAGUUGCUAACGCGUGAAGGCGAGCACUCUAGACGAACUGCCGUUGACAAAACGGAGGAAGGUGGGGAUGACGUCAAAUCAUCAUGCCCUUAUGUUCUGGGCUACACACGUGCUACAAUGGCCGGUACAGACGGACGCAAAGCCGCGAGGUGGAGCAAAUCCUAAAAAGCCGGUCUCAGUUCGGAUUGCAGGCUGCAAUUCGCCUGCAUGAAGUCGGAAUCGCUAGUAAUCGCAGGUCAGCAUACUCGCGGUCGAAUACGUUCCCGGGCCUU
rnacentral:rRNA from 1 species